UACGGGGGGGGCAAGCGUUGUUCGGAAUUACUGGGCGUAAAGGGCUCGUAGGCGGCCAACUAAGUCGGACGUGAAAUCCCCAGGCUCAACCUGGGAACUGCAUUCGAUACUGCGGUGCUUGAGGACUGGAGAGGAGACUGGAAUUCAUGGUGUAGCAGUGAAAUGCGUAGAGAUCAUGAGGAAGACCAGUGGCGAAGGCGGGUCUCUGGACAGUUCCUGACACUGAGGCACGAAGGCCAGGGGAGCAAACGGG
rnacentral:rRNA from 1 species